rnacentral:lncRNA from 1 species
UAGUCCAAAUCGAGUCCUCCUGGAGCCCAUGUUCGAGUUUCCAAUUCCGAUUAAAUCUAUGUAUUGAAUGUUACUAAAGAAAACAGCACGCACAUUUAAUAGGUUGCACGAACCAUUCAAGUCCUGUAGUAAAAGAAGUCUUUGCGUGUUUACGACGGAUUUUUGGCUUCCACGAUGCUUUUAAUAGUGACGUCAUAGUGUAUAAGUAGUUGCGCGUUUUGUUUACAUUUUUUUCUUAUGAAAAAAGAAACAAUUACAUUCUUGAUUCUACAAUUUGAGAAGGUCUUCAUUAUAUUAAAAGACAUUAAAACACAUUGAGGAUCUUCCACGUCGUAGUGAAGCAUAUGAAGCUAUGUCUCAGUUUCUACAAAGGAUUACUGUUAUGUAUUUAAUAUUUCCUUACAUGUUCUUAACUUCUUGUAUAUUCGUCUAUGUAUUAUAAGUACUGUGUUUUACGUAUUAUAAAUAGUCUCGUAUUGUGUAAAUAAAUUAGAGUAUAGUUAGAAUACACAUGAUCUUAUAAACAGUGUUACAUUAUUCCUCCACGUGAAUUAUUCUCCUCAUGUCUCUCGGUCAUCCUGGAUCUCUCCACCUUAUAAAUAAGUUUGUGUCUCUCCCUCGUCAAGACGCAACAAUUACUUUGCCGUAGUGGACUACAGCGAGGAACAAAGAAGAUUGUCGGAUUUCACUCAAAUCCAUUAGGAAAAUUAAAUUGAAGGCUUAUUAGUUAUUCUUUGUUAACUCUUCACCCUUGUCAUCAUCAAUUCUAUCAUUCAAUCCAAGAACAAUAUAUUCAAUCCAUAUAUAUUGUAAUUACUUAUAAGUUAUUUGUAUUGACUGUCAUUUGUUAGGAUGGCUAUAAAUUAUCAUAAGCAUUCUUCAUCAAAUAGAAGAUACUAGAUGAAGACUCCUUGGAGAAUGUGUGGAGUUCAAUCUAACAAAAGAUCGUGUUACUUCGUCACUCCCGGCAUUAAAGAAUAGGUCAUUGUGAUAAAGUGCAACAUAAUUACAUAUACUAGGGAUCAUGAAUUUAAAAAAAAAAUCAUAAUAUGCAUUGUUAUGUAGUGAUUUAAUUGAACUUAAGUAUCUUAAAACUGAUACUUUAUUGAAAUAGAACUGAUUAAUCCACAGUCAAACAGUUCCCAUAUUGACUCUUUGUGGAUUUGACACAAGAAGAAAACUUCGCUCCCAAUAGCAUUACAGUUGUUUUAAAGAAGAACUCUUUUAUUUCGAAAAAAUGUUGGCCAUCCAAUUUCGAGGAAUUGCUUGACAAGGUUUUUAGACUUAGCUAGAACACAGGCACUCACAUUUCGAAAGUUUAUUGUUUAAAAUUAAAUAA